GCGAGUGAACCGGGAAAAGCUCAAAUUUGAAAUCUGGCUGUCUUCGAUAGUCCGAGUUGUAAUCUAUAGAAGCGUUUUCCGUGCUGAACUGUGUAUAAGUGUCUUGGAACAGACUAUCAAAGAGGGUGACAAUCCCGUACUUUACACAAUCAUCAGUGCUCUGUGAUACGUUCUCUACGAGUCGAGUUGUUUGGGAAUGCAGCUCAAAAUGGGUGGUAAAUUCCAUCUAAAGCUAAAUAUUGGCGAGAGACCGAUAGCGAACAAGUACCGUGAGGGAAAGAUGAAAAGCACUUUGGAAAGAGAGUUAAACAGUACGUGAAAUUGUUAAAAGGGAAACGAUUGAAGUCAGUCGUGUUUAUUGGAUUCAGCCGGUCUUCGGUGUACUUCCUUUAAACGGGUCAACAUCAGUUUUGUCCGGUGGAUAAAGGCAGUAGGAAUGUGGCUCCCUCGGGAGUGUUAUAGCCUAUUGUCACAUACACUGGAGGAGACUGAGGACUGCAGCUCGCCUUUUUGGCCGGGGUUCGCCCACGUUCGAGCUUAGGAUGUUGACAUAAUGGCUUUAAACGACCC
rnacentral:rRNA from 1 species